GUGCUCACUUCGGCAGCACAUAUAAGAAAAUUGAAACGAUACAAAGAUUAGCAUGGCCCCUGUGCAAGGACGACACAAAUUUGUGAAGCAUUCCAUAUUAAU